UCUAAUCUUUCUCUCUCAUCUUCUGCCUUUCUCUUCCUCUCAUCUUCACAAAAGAAAACCCAAACUCACAAAAACCUCAACUACCACCACCGAAUCUCUUUUUCGCUCACUCUCUAUGUAAAUAAACUUAUGGAAGUUGUAGAUUUCAAACCCUAGAUAUCAAAACAAAAGUAAACACCCCCAAAUCUCAAUGUUGAGAUGAGAAAAAACUAACCCUAGAUUUCAAUGUUGAGAGAGGUAAGGAAAUGGAGGCGCAGUUUCUCAGAGAAUUAGAGAAGAGAGAUGAACAAGAUUAUGCAGGUAUUGAUAGUGAAAAUGGAUUCGUGGGUUUGGAUCUGUUUCUAUUAGAAAGAAAUGAUGAAGAACAAGUGCUGCUACUGCCAUGGUUGAAUCUGUGGUUGAUUUGAAACUAGUUUUUUAUUGAGGAAGAAGAUGAGCUCGAUUUCAAGAAUAAAAGAUGGGUUUUAAUGGAUUUAAGUUAACAACAGGCGUGGAUGAAAUAAUUUUGAAUCUGGUGAUAUAGAAGUGGAAUUGUGAAGAGAAACACAGGAAUUUUGGGGAGUAGAUGAAUGUUAGGACAGGGGUUUUCGAACUGGGUUGGAUGGUGUUGAUGGUGUUAAGAUUGAGCUGCAGUUCAAAUUGGUUUUGAUGUUGAUUGUCAUGGGUUAGUCAGUUGCAGGAGAUUGGUGGUAGUGAAUCAAAUGCUAAAUAAUAAUAAAAUCAUUCAGAGAAGUAAAAGAAAAUGAAAGAUAUGGAUUUUGGUAUUGGACAACAGAUGCCGGUGGAAGAAGAAGAAACAGAAGCAACAACAGAAAUUACAGAACAGAGUGAAAGUGGAUUUAGAGAUAGAUAAGAGGAUUUGGUUGAUAAAUUGAAGAAGAAAUCUUUUGAAGAAGAUUGGAAAUGGUGGAAUUAGUAGUAUGGAGAACGAACAUAUUUACAGACAUCAUACACACGAUGGAAUGAGAGAUAAUCGGUGUAGUUCAGCUCUUGUUAAACAUAUCAAAGAUCCUCUUCAUCUCGUAAGAUCUCCAUCUCUUGUGGAUAUGAGGAACCUGAGAUUAAAGGUCUUGAACCGCCGAAUGAUCUUGUAAAUGUUGCAAAUGAUUUGGCUAAUUUGGUUAAGUCUGAGGGUUGGGAUUGGCCUGAUGUUGUUAUUGGUCAUUCCAUGGGUGGAAAAGUUGCGUUAUAGUAUGCUGAGAGCUGUGCUCGUGGGGAUUAUGGUGAAUCUGCUACUUUGCCUAAACAGGAAGUUUAAGAUUGAAAUGUCGGGUUGCAGUUGAGGUGGAGGUUGCAGAGGUGUAGCUGAAGUUGAAAUUGCAUUGACACAGAGAACUAGAGAUGAUGAAUUUUCUGGUUCUAUGAUGUUCCAUAAACAACAAAGAGGACCUAGAGUUCGACUGCCAAAUCCUCCGUCGCUUUCCACGCAAAGACCUGCCUGCAAGAUGAGUUACAGAGAUAACUCUCAUUCUCAAUUCAAUGUUGACAAACAUCAACCUCAACCAUUCUUAUAUUACCAGAAGGUGAACCUGCCAGUACUAAGGAUUGACUCAUUGCGGCGUUACUUGAAGCACUUCAACAUUGUGAGUAUUACCUUUAUCAGUCUUUCUGAUUGUACAGGCUUAGAUUCUGCUGAUCCGAAAAGAACAAUUUCAGCAAGAUGGGAACUUAUUUGGCAGCAAUUUGUUAAGCUGGUACAAGGAGGAUGAGGUGGUUGCAGAGGAUGAAAUUGCUGAAACAGAUCCAAGUAAGCAGAUACAUGGAAAACCAAUCGGUCUUGGAGCCUACACUGUAUGUGUGAAGGUUUCUUAUGUGGAUGAUGCUCUUGUCUACCAAGCUACUUCAGAAGUCAGAAUUGUUCAUGAUGUUGUUUCAAAUUUUAUCACAUGGCCCAAAGAUAGAAUAAUCUACCAAUAGACUUCUUAAUCUUUUGUGAUC